CUACAUCUGGAUUGGAGAAGUAUUCAGGCCCCUCGAGCUUCGCAGUCGAAGGGUGAUCAUUAGUCGCUCAGUUCAUUAUACGGGGGUACGCUUUGGAUAUCCUUCUCGCUGUGUAUCCAUCGAGACUGGGAAUUGUCUCGUAAAUCCACACUUGAAAGGCUAUGAGCAAGCUUUCGAGUCUAUAAUGUGUUGUUCUCUUACUCAACCCCUCCUUCAAUGAACUUACUAGCCUGUUAAACAGUG
rnacentral:lncRNA from 1 species